UCGGGGGGAACGAGCGAUAAUCGACAUGAAAUAGGCGUUAAAGUGCCCUAAAGCGGUCAUGAGCAAAUUGAGACGGAAGUAUAGUACGUUCUUAACGGAUUUUCUUAACGAAAAAUCCUAUAUGCGAAUGACUUUGAGGAUGAAAUAAGACGGCGGUACUCUCUAAUCAUGGAGGUGAAAUUUCAUUGACAUUCGACGGGGACCAUCAAUCGGCGAUUGCGGCCUUCAUACUUCAUUUUAAUUUCAGACCUGACGCUGCAAAGGCGAAAGUGUGGGGAGCAAACAGA
rnacentral:rRNA from 1 species